rnacentral:rRNA from 1 species
UACGUAGGUGGCAAGCGUUGUCCGGAUUUAUUGGGUUUAAAGGGUGCGUAGGCGGUCUAUUAAGUCAGUGCUGAAAUAUCCCGGCUUAACCGGGAGGGUGGCAUUGAUACUGAUGGACUUGAGUGCAGUCGAGGUAGGCGGAAUUGACGGUGUAGCGGUGAAAUGCUUAGAUAUCGUCAAGAACACCGAUAGUGAAGACAGCUUACUAAGCUGUAACUGACGCUGAGGCACGAAAGUGUGGGGAUCAAACAGGAUUAGAAACCCCAGUAGUCC